GGUCGUAGCUCAGUGGUAGAGCGCUCAACUGCCUCGUGAGAGACCUGGGUUCGAUCUUCAACACCA
rnacentral:tRNA from 1 species